UACGUAGGGUGCAAGCGUUGUCCGGAAUUAUUUGGGCGUAAAGAGCUCGUAGGCGGUUUGUCGCGUCGAAUGUGAAAACCCGGGGCUCAACCCCGGGCCGCAUUCGAUACGGGCAGAACUAGAGUUCGGUAGGGGAGUCUGGAAUUCCUGGUGUAGCGGUGGAAAUGCGCAGAUAUCAGGAGGAACACCGGUGGCGAAGGCGGGACUCUGGGCCGAUA
rnacentral:rRNA from 1 species